rnacentral:ribozyme from 2 species
CACCGUGGCGGCGGUGUAAAACAAACAUUAAGCCGCCAGCGUCCCGGAACAAGGCAUUUUCCGAUUCUCCGGGGGUUGCA